rnacentral:rRNA from 1 species
CCUACGGGUGGCAGCAGUGAGGAAUAUAGGUCAAUGGCCGGAAGGCUGAACCAGCCAAGCCGCGUGAAGGACGAAGGUGCCAAGCAUUGUAAACUUCUUUUGUCAAGGGACAAAAUCAGGCUCGAGAGCAUGACCGAGGGUACUUGAAGAAAAAGCAUCGGCUAACUCCGUGCCAGCAGCCGCGGUAAUACGGAGGAUGCGAGCGUUAUCCGGAUUUAUUGGGUUUAAAGGGUGCGUAGGCGGGCUGUUAAGUCAGCGGGAAAAUCGUGGGGCUAAACCCCAUCCAGCCGUUGAAACUGGGGAGCUAGAGUGUGCGAGAGGUAAGCGGAAUGCGUGGUGUAGCGGUGAAAUGCAUAGAUAUCACGCAGAACCCCGAUGGCGAAGGCAGCAUACCGGUGCACAACUGACGCUCAGGCACGAAAGCGUGGGUAUCGAACAGGAUUAGAUACCCGUGUAGUC